rnacentral:rRNA from 1 species
GACGAACGCUGGCGGCGUGCCUAAUACAUGCAAGUCAAGCGGACAGAAGGGAGCUUGCUCCCGGAUGUUAGCGGCGGACGGGUGAGUAACACGUGGGUAACCUGCCUGUAAGACUGGGAUAACUCCGGGAAACCGGAGCUAAUACCGGAUAGUUCCUUGAACCGCAUGGUUCAAGGAUGAAAGUCGGUUUCGGCUGUCACUUACAGAUGGACCCGCGGCGCAUUAGCUAGUUGGUGAGGUAACGGCUCACAAAGGCAACGAUGCGUAGCCGACCUGAGAGGGUGAUCGGCCACACUGGGACUGAGACACGGCCCAGACUCCUACGGGAGGCAGCAGUAGGGAAUCUUCCGCAAUGGACGAAAGUCUGACGGAGCAACGCCGCGUGAGUGAUGAAGGUUUUCGGAUCGUAAAGCUCUGUUGUUAGGGAAGAACAAGUGCAAGAGUAACUGCUUGCACCUUGACGGUACCUAACCAGAAAGCCACGGCUAACUACGUGCCAGCCGCCGCCGUAAAAC